rnacentral:rRNA from 1 species
CAGUCGCCACGGUAAUACGUAGGGUGCAAGCGUUAAUCGGAAUUACUGGGCGUAAAGCGUGCGCAGGCGGUCCGCUAAGACAGAUGUGAAGUCCCCGGGCUUAACCUGGGAACUGCAUUUGUGACUGGCGGGCUAGAGUAUGGCAGAGGGGGGUAGAAUUCCACGUGUAGCAGUGAAAUGCGUAGAGAUGUGGAGGAAUACCGAUGGCGAAGGCAGCCCCCUGGGCCAAUACUGACGCUCAUGCACGAAAGCGUGGGGAGCAAACAGGAUUAGAUACCCCCGUAGUCCCUGUCUCUUAUAC